CGAAACCAUGUUCAGCCCUAUUCUUUUUUCAGAUCUAUUUUUUCUUUUCUUCUUCUAUUCUCUCGCUGAAUUUUUUUUUCUACAUUGAUGUUUUCAUACAAACUCACCCAUAGAUUCUCACCUUACAUCUUCCCUUCUCUCGCUGAAGAAAAAAUUUCUACAUAAAUGUUUUCAUACAAACUCCCCCAUAGAUUCUCACCUUACAACAAAGAGAGCAAGACCUUAACCCUAGCCCAAAAUCCCUCCUCCUCCACUGAUACUGUCUCAAUUCUAAAACCUAACCCCUAGAUAAAGAGGAUCUCACUCGUCGUCUUCUUCGACUUCAAUCUAAUAAGUUCUCAUGUCAGGAGAGUUCCACCGACGAGAUGGAGAUUGGAAACUUUGACACUGGUAUACAGCCAAACAAUAACAACCUGCAAUGUAGCCUGUCUCCAGGAUGUUUGGUAUUGUUGUUUGCAUACCUUUGGUGAACUUUGCAUCUCCUGGUGAGUGUCUUGGUGCUGCUUUGGUUAGGAUCUUAGUAGUGUGGAAACCCUUCCAAGGAGAGGAUGUGCUGAAACUACAUGGAUGCAGUUUCAUGGUUAGGGAAAAGGGAUCAAAUGUUCAUCAUGGGGUUGGGAUUCUUCAGUAGUUAGAUUUUGUUUCUUCACCUUAAUUCAAUAUUUUGCAGCUGCAGUCGAUUUCAUAAUGAUGAGCUUUGAAUUUUAUAGAAAUAGCUUAUUUCAAUUUACGGUACUGAAGUUUAUGUUCCUUUUUCUACAUAGGUGACUCUACAGCUAAUGAAUUAUCUGUAAUCCCUUUGUAGUGCUAAGACUGGCGAUGCCAACCGUGCCACUGAAUUGAAAAAUGGAGCAUUUGUUGGUGGUAAGAAAAUUGCAGUAAAACUUGCCUAGUCUCGUGUGCCCCUCGAGCAACGGCGGUUGAAGAAAAAUCAAGUUAAUGCAGAUGACUCUAAGAAAAAAGAUGACCAGGGAACCGGUAAAGCUCUUGUUCCUCUCGAUAUUAUUGCUACCAAAGGGGUACCAUCAGAAAAACAGAGCGCUCGCUCGGGAUGGAUGCAAGAUGGAUGCUGCAGCUGUACUUUACACGGGUGUUGGAUCAGCUCGUUCUAAGUUGCAUCAACAAGAGAUAAAGGGUGCAUCUGUUUGGGCACGCCAGUUGGGUGGUGAGGAGAAACCAUUGGCAGAAGAGUCAGAGGAACUAGACUGGGCUUCCCAACUACACUGCAAGUCAUUCAAUCUCUUGGGAAGCAAUCAAGCUAUCAUUAAGACCCUGCAGGGUAGAACUAGAAGCACCAGCUGGAGGACCAAUGCUCAAAUGGACAAGCUUAUUUUGUGUUUAAACAACUUUGAAAUAGUAUGUUGUAAAACUUUUAAAAAAGGCUCUAUGCCUGACCUCCUAAGACUAUCUACUAUUGGAGGAAGUGCUCAAAGUCCUCAAUUGUGGGAGGCACCCUAUCUUUCACAACUUUGUCAGUAAUCCUUUACUUUUAUAAUAAGAAAAAAGGUACAAUGCAUGUGAA